rnacentral:rRNA from 1 species
UACGGAGGGUGCAAGCGUUAUCCGGAUUCACUGGGGUUAAAGGGUGCGUAGGUGGGUUGGUAAGUCAGUGGUGAAAUCUCCGAGCUUAACUUGGAAACUGCCAUUGAUACUAUCAGUCUUGAAUACCGUGGAGGUCGGCGGAAUAUGUCAUGUAGCGGUGAAAUGCUUAGAUAUGACAUAGAACACCAAUUGCGAAGGCAGCUGACUACGCGAGUAUUGACACUGAGGCACGAAAGCGUGGGGAUCAAACAGG